UCUUUAGUACUUUAUACAAAAGUUUUGAUUUGCAUUCAGAUAAAAGGAUUAUGAAUCCUCUAAAGAA
rnacentral:tRNA from 1 species